rnacentral:tRNA from 1 species
GAAAUAAUAAUAAUAUUAAGCUUCUAACUUAUGUAUUAAAUGUAUAAAUUCAUUUUUAUUUCU